rnacentral:rRNA from 1 species
GUGGGGAAUAUUGGACAAUGGGCGCAAGCCUGAUCCAGCCAUGCCGCGUGAGUGAUGAAGGCCUUAGGGUUGUAAAGCUCUUUCGGCGGGGAAGAUAAUGACGGUACCCGCAGAAGAAGCCCCGGCUAACUCCGUGCCAGCAGCCGCGGUAAUACGGAGGGGGCUAGCGUUGUUCGGAAUUACUGGGCGUAAAGCGCGCGUAGGCGGUUCCACUAGUCAGGCGUGAAAGCCCCGGGCUCAACCCGGGAAUAGCGCUUGAUACUUUGGAGCUAGAGUCCGGGAGAGGAGAGUGGAAUUCCCAGUGUAGAGGUGAAAUUCGUAGAUAUUGGGAAGAACACCGGUGGCGAAGGCGGCUCUCUGGACCGGUACUGACGCUCUGGCGCGAAAGCGUGGGGAGCAAACAGGAUUAGAUACCCGUGUAGUCC